CAGUCGCCACGGUAAUACAGAGGGUGCGAGCGUUAAUCGGAUUUACUGGGCGUAAAGCGUGCGUAGGCGGCUUUUUAAGUCGGAUGUGAAAUCCCUGAGCUUAACUUAGGAAUUGCAUUCGAUACUGGGAAGCUAGAGUAUGGGAGAGGAUGGUAGAAUUCCAGGUGUAGCGGUGAAAUGCGUAGAGAUCUGGAGGAAUACCGAUGGCGAAGGCAGCCAUCUGGCCUAAUACUGACGCUGAGGUACGAAAGCAUGGGGAGCAAACAGGAUUAGAGACCCCCGUAGUCCCUGUCUCUUAUAU
rnacentral:rRNA from 1 species